rnacentral:lncRNA from 1 species
GAAUCUUGCAGUGAAGCUCAUUCCCGGGCAGUGGUCAGAAAAAAAGAGCUUUGACUUGAAGGGUUUUUCAAGCCAAGACUAUGGAGUUGACUGUGGGAUCUUCAUGCUGAUGAUAAUUUUUCUCUUCUCUUCUUGAGAUUCAUACAGAAGCUAAUUUAAGCUUCUAAAAAAUUGACAUUUUUAUUUUUUCUUCCAAAUAGUCUGCUCUGUACGUGGCACUGGAUGCACCAUUUGACUAUACUAUAGUAAGUAUCCUAUUUACUUUCACAGAAAUGGAGUCUUGAAUCUUUUGAAAGUUGUUAAAUAUGUUUCAUAUUAAUAUUUUACAGUCAGACAUGCCCUACUUGCGUAAAUGGUGGUGCUUGCUGUUGAUGGAGAACUUUGAUCUCAGGAGCUCUGGCAAGCUAUUUGCACACUGGAGAGAGGAAGCCAAAGCUGUGCUUGAAGGACAACACGUGCCCAUUUUCAGACUGAAAAAGCGCACAUUCCAGGAAGUCAGUCAGGAGGAAGCAGUUGUUGAAGAUCUGCGUCCUGCUGUGCAGUGGGUUGUCCAAAAUAAGGCACUUUUCCGUGGACACGUAACAAUGCCAAAAUAUCUGUCCUUAAAUCAAGGGGACCAGCAGAAGGUCUUAAAAGACAUGUCAGAGGAAGAAGACACUGGAGCAAGGGACUUGUUCCUCUUUGUUUUUCAGUUUGCAGAGGACAUGGAGCUCUUUUUGAAAGCAUGUGCUUAUUCAAUUCAAUUCAAUUCAGUUUUAUUUAUAUAG